rnacentral:rRNA from 1 species
UGGGGAAUUUUGGACAAUGGGGGAAACCCUGAUCCAGCCAUCCCGCGUGUGCGAUGAAGGCCUUCGGGUUGUAAAGCACUUUUGGCAGGAAAGAAACGUCAUGGGUUAAUACCCCGUGAAACUGACGGUACCUGCAGAAUAAGCACCGGCUAACUACGUGCCAGCAGCCGCGGUAAUACGUAGGGUGCAAGCGUUAAUCGGAAUUACUGGGCGUAAAGCGUGCGCAGGCGGUUCGGAAAGAAAGAUGUGAAAUCCCAGAGCUCAACUUUGGAACUGCAUUUUUAACUACCGGGCUAGAGUGUGUCAGAGGGAGGUGGAAUUCCGCGUGUAGAAGUGAAAUGAGUAGAUAUGCGGAGGAACACCGAUGGCGAAGGCAGCCUCCUGGGAUAACACUGACGCUCAUGCACGAAAGCGUGGGGAGCAAACAGG